rnacentral:hammerhead_ribozyme from 1 species
AUCCAGUUGACGGAUCCCAAUUAGGACGAAACGCGCGUCCUGGAU